GACGAACGCUGGCGGCGUGCCUAAUACAUGCAAGUUGAGCGCUGAAGGUUGGUACUUGUACCAACUGGAUGAGCAGCGAACGGGUGAGUAACGCGUGGGGAAUCUGCCUUUGAGCGGGGGACAACAUUUGGAAACGAAUGCUGAUACCGCAUAAAAACUUUAAACACAAGUUUUAAGUUUGAAAGAUGCAAUUGCAUCACUCAAAGAUGAUCCCGCGUUGUAUUAGCUAGUUGGUGAGGUAAAGGCUCACCAAGGCGAUGAUACAUAGCCGACCUGAGAGGGUGAUCGGCCACAUUGGGACUGAGACACGGCCCAAACUCCUGCGGGAGGCAGCAGUAGGGAAUCUUCGGCAAUGGACGAAAGUCUGACCGAGCAACGCCGCGUGAGUGAAGAAGGGUUUCGGAUCGUAAAACUCUGUUGGUAGAGAAGAACGUUGGUGAGAGUGGAAAGCUCAUCAAGUGACGGUAACUACCCAGAAAGGGACGGCUAACUACGUG
rnacentral:rRNA from 1 species